GACGAACGCUGGCGGCGUGCUUAACACAUGCAAGUCGAACGGAAAGGCCCUGCUUUUGUGGGGUGCUCGAGUGGCGAACGGGUGAGUAACACGUGAGUAACCUGCCCUUGACUUUGGGAUAACUUCAGGAAACUGGGGCUAAUACCGGAUAGGAGCUCCUGCUGCAUGGUGGGGGUUGGAAAGUUUCGGCGGUUGGGGAUGGACUCGCGGCUUAUCAGCUUGUCGGUGGGGUAGUGGCAUACCAAGGCUUUGACGGGUAGCCGGCCUGAGAGGGUGACCGGCCACAUUGGGACUGAGAUACGGCCCAGACUCCUACGGGAGGCAGCAGUGGAGAGUAGUGCACAAUGGGCGGAAGCCUGAUGCAGCAACGCCGCGUGCGGGAUGACGGCCUUCGGGUUGUAAACCGCUUUCGCCUGUGACGAAGCGUGAGUGACGGUAAUGGGUAAAGAAGCACCGGCUAACUACGUG
rnacentral:rRNA from 1 species